ensembl:rRNA 5S_rRNA 5S ribosomal RNA
GUGUAUGGCCAUACCACCCUGAACGCGCCCGAUCUCCUCUGAUCUUGGAAGCUAAGCAGGGUUGGGCCUGGUUAGUACUCAGAUGGGAGACUGCCUGGGAAUACUGGGUGCUAUAGGCU